UUUUUUUUCUCCUAAAACUAUUAUUCUCUCAGGUGUGGACUCCAAAGUACCCAGCUUCCCUUCAGGAACAUUUUACUCCAUCUCCAGUUUCUUAACAAAUCUAAGGAUUAAGAAUCAUCCUUAGUCAAAUCUUGUUCGGGUCCAGAGCACAAAAAGAUCUCCAAGAAAUCUGGAGAGACAAAAUAUAUUUUAUUUAUUUAUUAUAUCAUGAAUAUUCAGUAGGAUUUUUCUCUAAUAGCACCUAUGAGAUGGACUCAUAGAAUUAAGGGUAAACUUGAAUGCUCUGUAAGUAAUGAAGGUGUAGCCAGGCACAGUAGCACACUGUAAUCUCAGCUGCUCUGGAAGCUGAGGCAGAGGGAUCACAAGUUCAGGGACAGUCUAGACGAGGUGGAGGCAAGAGUUGGUAAUAUAGUGAGACUCUGUCUCAAAAUAAAAAGUAGAAACACCUGGGCAUGUAGCUCAGUGGUAGAACAACCCCAAAUUCAAUCCCGUGGCUGCAAAAAAAAAAAAGAAAAAAAGAAAAAUG
rnacentral:lncRNA from 1 species